rnacentral:rRNA from 1 species
UACAGAGGUCUCAAGCGUUGUUCGGAUUUACUGGGCGUAAAGGGCGCGUAGGCGGCCUGUGCAAGUCAGUUGUGAAAUCUCCGAGCUUAACUCGGAACGGUCAACUGAUACUGCUCAGCUAGAGUGCGGAAGGGGCAACUGGAAUUCUUGGUGUAGCGGUGAAAUGCGUAGAUAUCAAGAGGAACACCUGCGGCGAAGGCGGGUUGCUGGGCCGACACUGACGCUGAGGCGCGAAGGUCAGGGGAGCAAACGGG